rnacentral:rRNA from 1 species
CUGAGACACGGCCCAGACUCCUACGGGAGGCAGCAGUGGGGAAUUUUGGACAAUGGGGGCAACCCUGAUCCAGCAAUGCCGCGUGUGUGAAGAAGGCCUUCGGGUUGUAAAGCUCUUUUGUCCGGAAAGAAAUGGCGCUGGUUAAUAUCUGGUGUGGAUGACGGUACCCGAAUAAUAAGCACCGGCUAACUACGUGCCAGCAGCCGCGGU